CGUGAGCGAAGAAGGCCUUCGGGUCGUAAAGCUCUGUCAAGUGGGAAAAAAGCCUUUCGGUUAAUAUCCGGGAGGUGUGAUGGUACCACUGGAGGAAGCACCGGCUAACUCCGUGCCAGCAGCCGCGGUAAUACGGAGGGUGCAAGCGUUGUUCGGAAUUACUGGGCGUAAAGGGCGUGCAGGCGGUUUGGUAAGUCAGAUGUGAAAGCCCUGGGCUUAACCCGGGAAGUGCAUUUGAAACUGCCUUUCUUGAGUAUGGGAGAGGAGAGUGGAAUUCCCAGUGUAGAGGUGAAAUUCGUAGAUAUUGGGAGGAACACCCGUGGCGAAGGCGACUCUCUGGACCAAUACUGACGCUGAGACGCGAAAGCGUGGGGAGCAAACAGGAUUAGAUACCCUGGUAGUCCACGCUGUAAACGAUGAGAACUAGGUGUAGCGGGUAUUGACCCCUGCUGUGCCGAAGUUAACGCAUUAA
rnacentral:rRNA from 1 species